rnacentral:rRNA from 1 species
GACGAACGCUGGCGGCGUGCUUAACACAUGCAAGUCGAACGGAAAGGCCCUGCUGUUGUGGGGUGCUCGAGUGGCGAACGGGUGAUUAACACGUGAGUAACCUGCCCUUGACUUUGGGAUAACUUCAGGAAACUGGGUCUAAUACCGGAUCGGAGCUCCUGCUGCAUGGUGGGGGUUGGAAAGUUUCGGCGGGUGGGGAUGGACUCGCGGCUUAUCAGCUUGUUGGUGGGGUAGUGGCUUACCACGGCUUUGACGGGUAGCCGGCCUGAGAGGGUGACCGGCCACCAUGGGACUGAGAUACGGCGCAGACGCCUACGGGAGGCAGCAGGGGGGAAUAUUGCACAAUGGGCCGAAGCCUGAUGCAGCAACGCCGCGUGCGGGAUGACGGCCUUCGGGUUGUAAACCGCUUUCGCCUGUGACGAAGCGUGAGUGACGGUAAUGGAUAAAGAAGCACCGGCUAACUACGUG